rnacentral:sRNA from 1 species
GUUCGUGAGGAAAAAACGCUUCACAGGGUGGAAACAAGGACACACUCCUGAGAAGCGUUUUUGA